rnacentral:snoRNA from 1 species
GCUGUGAUGCGUUGUUCCAUGCACCUGACACUGCGUGAUGCGCUUUUCUGGUCUGAU